CGCUGGCACCUUUUCCCUUACGGAGAUCCCAAACAAAGCCAUUCUAAGCAUCCAUAUUACAGGUGACCAAGAUGGAGCCAGGAUGCUAACACCAGCUCAUCCUGUAACCGCCUUGAACUAGGAGAAGAAGCAGGGAGCAAGUAAAACCCUGGAAGGAAUUGCCAACAAGCAGUUACUAAAAGAGAAGGAAUGAGUAAGGAGGAUGAACAUGUUGUCUUUCCAGUUCAGGUUCCAUUGGCUGUAUAGAAGACGGGGCAAAGCAAAGUGGAACAUAUGUUGAAGUUUUUCCGACAAGCAACUGUAUCAGAUUCAUUUGUCUCUGAAAGAAAGAAAAAAAGGGCAGGGGAGAAAAUAUGGAAGGGGAGCCAGUGUGGGACCCCUCCAGAUGACGCCCAUCAUCCCAGACCAUCUGGCUGGCAUUGUCUUGGCUGCCCCUGGAACUGAGAUGCAUCUUACCCAGAGCAGCAGGGAACACCAGCGGGAGGAGAGCGAAGAGAAGAAAAAGGGAUUUCAUGCUGAGUACUGCUGCGAGAGAUCCUGAAGUCUUCAGAAAAGAGAAGACAGAGACACACAGUGAGGAGGAAGAUUGCACCUCCAUUUAUAGUGGCACAGUGAAACUGGGAGGUACCCUGGGCAAGAAGAGUGAGAUUCGGCCUGGACACCAUAAGGAUAACACCACUAUCAAUAAAUUCCUGUUACUUGGAGUGACUUGGUUGACCUCAGAAGAUGGGGAAGCCUGUUGGGGGGAGGGGGAAACUACUUAAAUAAUAUCAGGGUUGAUGCAGAGGGUCUUGCUAAUGGGCAGAACUAAAAAGAAUUUAAUAGUAUUAACAAAAAGCCUCAUUAUAGGGUCCCUGGCUUCUGAUUCUGAACCUAUCUAUCACACACAAACUGCCUUUGAAUUUUAUGUAUGAUAAGCAAGAGAAUGGUGGGAGGGGCCUCAGAAAAGCCUCUCCCUGAAUGUCACAAAUGAUGAUGUCACAGGGAUUCUGCAGUGAAGGUUCUGUUCUGCAUCCAUUGGAGGCCCAGCUGAGACCGGUAGCAGAAACCGGUGGCAGCCCUUGAAAGACAGGAAUACUUGGAUAUAAAUACUGUCCUGCCAGCCCCGCUGUCCAUAGACUCUCCAAUUUGAUGUUGGUGGGAAAUAGUCUGCUAUUAUAGAUUCUUCACACAGGCUUUAGAGGCAGGAAGGAGAGUGCAAUUUGAGUUCCAGCU